AGCAGUCGCCGCGGUAAUACGAAGGGUGCAAGCGUUAAUCGGAAUUACUGGGCGUAAAGCGUGCGUAGGCGGUGAGUUAAGUCUGCUGUGAAAUCCCCGGGCUCAACCUGGGAAUGGCAGUGGAUACUGGCUCGCUAGAGUGUGUCAGAGGAUGGUGGAAUUCCCGGUGUAGCAGUGAAAUGCGUAGAGAUCGGAAGGAACAUCUGUGGCGAAGGCGACUAUCUGGGACAACACUGACGCUGAGGCACGAAAGCGUGGGAAGCAAACAGGAUUAGAUACCCGCGUAGUCCCUGUCUCUUAUAC
rnacentral:rRNA from 1 species